rnacentral:rRNA from 1 species
CCUACGGGGGGCAGCAGUGAGGAAUAUUGGUCAAUGGGCGCGAGCCUGAACCAGCCAAGUCGCGUGAGGGAAGACGGUCCUAUGGAUUGUAAACCUCUUUUGUCGGGGAGCAAAAGACGCCACGCGUGGCGUUCCGAGAGUACCCGAAGAAAAAGCAUCGGCUAACUCCGUGCCAGCAGCCGCGGUAAUACGGAGGAUGCGAGCGUUACCCGGAUUGAUUGGGUUUAAGGGGUGCGCAGGCGGAAGAUCAAGUCAGCGGUAAAAUUGAGAGGCUCAACCUCGUCGAGCCGUUGAGACUGGUUAUCUUGAGUGAGCGAGAGGUAAGCGGAAUGCGAGGUGUAGCGGUGAAAUGCGUAGAUAUAACGCAGAACUCCGAUGGCGAAGGCAGCAUACCGGCGCUCAACUGACGCUCAUGCACGAAAGUGUGGGUAGCGAACAGGAUUAGAUACCCUUGUAGUC